rnacentral:misc_RNA from 1 species
AAGUCGUAACAAGGUUUCCGUAGGUGAACCUGCGGAAGGAUCAUUACCGAGAGAGGGGCUUCGCGCUCCCGGGGGUUUCGGCCCCCUACUCCUCACCCACUGUUUACCUACCUGUUGCUUUGGCGGGCCCCGGGGUUCGCCCCCGCGCUGGCUUUCGGGCCGGCGAGUGCCCGUCAGAGGCCCAUUAAAUUCUGUUCAAUCAGUGACGUCCGAGCAAAAACAUAAUAGUAAAA